rnacentral:rRNA from 1 species
CCUACGGGAGGCAGCAGUGGGGAAUCUUGCGCAAUGGGCGAAAGCCUGACGCAGCAACGCCGCGUGCGGGAAGAAGGCCUUAGGGUUGUAAACCGCUUUCAGUAGGAACGAAAAUGACGGUACCUGCAGAAGAAGGUGCGGCCAACUACGUGCCAGCAGCCGCGGUGACACGUAGGCACCAAGCGUUGUCCGGAUUUAUUGGGCGUAAAGAGCUCGUAGGCGGUUCAGUAAGUCGGGUGUGAAAACUCUGGGCUUAACCCAGAGCCGCCACUCGAUACUGCUGUGACUUGAGUUCGGUAGGGGAGCAGGGAAUUCCUAGUGUAGCGGUGAAAUGCGCAGAUAUUAGGAGGAACACCGGUGGCGAAGGCGCUGCUCUGGGCCGAUACUGACGCUGAGGAGCGAAAGCGUGGGUAGCAAACAGGAUUAGAUACCCUGGUAGUCCACGCCGUAAACGUUGGGCACUAGGUGUGGGUUCCAACCAACGGAAUCCGCGCCGUCGCUAACGCAUUAAGUGCCCCGCCUGGGGAGUACGGCGGCAACGCUAAAACUCAAAUGAAUUGACGG